rnacentral:sRNA from 1 species
GCAGAGAAGCAGGCAAAAGCCAGGGAAUCUGGCUCUUCCACUGCAGAAGAGGGAGAUUUCUCCAAGGGCCCCAUUCGCUGUGACCGCUGCGGCUACAAUACCAAUCGAUAUGAUCACUAUACAGCACACCUGAAACACCACACCAGAGCUGGGGAUAAUGAGCGAGUCUACAAGUGCAUCAUUUGCACAUACACAACAGUGAGCGAGUAUCACUGGAGGAAACAUUUAAGAAACCAUUUUCCAAGGAAAGUAUACACAUGUGGAAAAUGCAACUAUUUUUCAGACAGAAAAAACAAUUAUGUUCAGCAUGUUAGAACUCAUACAGGAGAACGCCCAUAUAAAUGUGAACUUUGUCCUUACUCAAGUUCUCAGAAGACUCAUCUAACUAGACAUAUGCGUACUCAUUCAGUGGGGUAUGGAUACCAUUUGGUAAUAUUUACUAGAGUGUGAUCUAGAUGGGUGAGAAGCCAUUUAAAUGUGAUCAGUGCAGUUAUGUGGCCUCUAAUCAACAUGAAGUAACCCGCCAUGCAAGACAGGUUCACAAUGGACCUAAACCUCUUAAUUGCCCACACUGUGAU